rnacentral:lncRNA from 1 species
GAUAGACAGCAAAUUACAUAUGAAAGGUUUUGUUAAAAAUUGUUCUAAAAAUGAAAGUUAUUGCAUGAUAGAGAAAAUCACAACUUAACGUAAGUAAUUUAUAUUUGCAAUGUGUUUCUCAAUGUUGCCUUUAUUUCUCAUCCUUAUUUCAUAAAAAAUUGACUCUUAAAAAGAAAAUCCUUUUUUUUUCUUCUAGAGAACAUUUUAAUAUUGUUCAUAUUUGGUUUGCAUAAAACAUUCUGAUUUCAUUUCAUUUUUUAUCUCAAUCGAACUUCAUGCAGGAUAUUCCAUCUACCAGGUCGUGCGCAUGAUAAUCCUUUCGAUACUACAUGUACAAAUGUAUUAGUAGUCUGUUCAAUGACUAUAAAUAUCAGAUAGUACCAUCCGACAAGAAUUCAAAAUGUCGGUUAAUUGAUAAAUAUUAUAAAUUUUCGUUCCUUUAUAUAUUCGAUCCGGACGCGCGAAAUUAAUAAAGUGUUAUUCUCAGUUAUAAUAGUUAUCAAAAGUACCAGGAUUAUAAUUUUAUACGCCAGACGCGCGUUUCGUCUAUGUAAGACUCAUCAGUGACGCUCAGAUCAAAAUAGUUAAAAAGGCCAAAUAAAUACAAAGUUGAAGAGCAUUGAGGAAUCUGGGUCGACACAACUGCUGAUGGACUGUUGGUCCCUGGGUUAAUGAUCUAGUUAGACGGAAACCAAUCAUCAAUCAACAAACCAGUUUCUCUUUUGAAAAAAGUUUCUUUUUUUCAGAUUCGUUUGCCAGUUAUAUUAGAGAUUGCAGUAAUGGACAUUCUUUCUCCUAUUCUAAGAUAGACAGACUCAAAGGUAUAACACCAAACAAUUCCUCUAGGUGUGCCUACUACAACGAACAUCUCGUCUGUGUAACAUUAUGUCUUGGUAACUUUUGUAACGGGCCACAGGAAGUGUCGAGUGCAUCUCUAACAUUUUUCAGCAAACAGUUUUUAUAUUUUACAUUUGUUUUUCUAUAUUCUGUGCGUAAAAUCAUAUAGCUAACACA